rnacentral:rRNA from 1 species
ACACGACCGUACCGCAAACCGACACUGGUGCGCGAGAUGAGUAUUCUAAGGCGCUUGAGAGAACUCAGGAGAAGGAACUCGGCAAAUUGACACCGUAACUUCGGAAGAAGGUGUGCCUUUAGUAGGUGAACCUGUACAAGGGGAGCCCAAUGAGGUUGCAAAAAAAUCGGUGGCUGCGACUGUUUAAUAAAAACACAGCACUCUGCAAACACGAAAGUGGACGUAUAGGGUGUGACGCCUGCCCGGUGCUGGAAGGUUAAAUGAUGGGGUGCAAGCUCUUGAUUGAAGUCCCAGUAAACGGCGGCCGUAACAAUAACGGUCCUAAGGUAGCGAAAUUCCUUGUCGGGUAAGUUCCGACCUGCACGAAUGGCGUAACGAUGGCCACACUGUCUCCUCCUGAGACUCAGCGAAGUUGAAAUGUUUGUGAUGAUGCAAUCUCCCCGCGGAAAGACGGAAAGACCCCAUGAACCUUUACUGUAGCUUUGUAUUGGACUUUGAACAGAUCUGUGUAGGAUAGGUGGGAGGCUUAGAAGUGUGGUCGCUAGAUCGCAUGGAGCCAACGUUGAAAUACCACCCUGGUGUGUUUGAGGUUCUAACCUAGGCCCGUAAUCCGGGUCGGGGACAGUGCAUGGUAGGCAGUUUGACUGGGGCGGUCUCCUCCCAAAGCGUAACGGAGGAGUUCGAAGGUACGCUAGGUACGGUCGGACAUCGUGCUAAUAGUGCAAUGGCAUAAGCGUGCUUAACUGCGAGACUGACAAGUCGAGCAGAUGCGAAAGCAGGACAUAGUGAUCCGGUGGUUCUGUAUGGAAGGGCCAUCGCUCAACGGAUAAAAGGUACUCUGGGGAUAACAGGCUGAUACCGCCCAAGAGUUCAUAUCGACGGCGGUGUUUGGCACCUCGAUGUCGGCUCAUCUCAUCCUGGGGCUGUAGCCGGUCCCAAGGGUAUGGCUGUUCGCCAUUUAAAGAGGUACGUGAGCUGGGUUUAAAACGUCGUGAGACAGUUUGGUCCCUAUCUUCCGUGGGCGCUGCAGAUUUGAGGAAGCCUGCUCCUAGUACGAGAGGACCGGAGUGGACACACCUCUGGUGUAUCGGUUGUCACGCCAGUGGCAUUGCCGAGUAGCUAUGUGUGGAAGAGAUAACCGCUGAAAGCAUCUAAGCGGGAAACUCGUUUCAAGAUGAGAUCUGCCGGGGCCUUGAGCCCCCUAAAGAGUCGUUCAAGACCAGGACGUUGAUAGGUCGGGUGUGGAAGCGCAGUAAUGCGUUAAGCUAACCGAUACUAAUUGCUCGUGCGGCUUGACC